rnacentral:rRNA from 1 species
UACGUAGGGGGCAAGCGUUAUCCGGAAUUAUUGGGCGUAAAGGGUGCGUAGGCGGCCCAUCAAGUUGGAUGUGAAAUCCCCGUGCUUAACAUGGGAAUUGCAUUCAAAACUGAAGGGCUUGAGUGUGGAAGAGGUAAGUGGAAUUCCCAGUGUAGCGGUGAAAUGCGUAGAUAUUGGGAGGAACACCAGUGGCGAAGGCGACUUACUGGGCCACAACUGACGCUGAGGCACGAAAGCGUGGGGAGCAAACAGG